rnacentral:rRNA from 44 species
CGCCUCUUGACUUAUAAUAAGAGGUCCAGCCUGCCCAGUGAAUUUUAAACGGCCGCGGUAUCCUAACCGCGCGAAGGUAGCAUAAUCACUUGUUCUUUAAAUGGGGACUCGUAUCAACGGCAUCACGAGGGUUUUACUGUCUCCUCUUUUUGAUCAGUGAAAUUGAUCUUCCCGUGAAGAAGCGGGAAUAUUUUUAUAAGACGAGAAGACCCCAUGGAGCUUUAAACCAAAUAACAACUUAACCUCUUAUCCCACAAUAAAUUUAAGCCCUGUUAUAAGGUUUUUGGUUGGGGUGACCGCGGAGUAAAGCACAUCCUCCACGACGGAAAGAACAUAAUCUUUAUUUAAGAACCACACUUCUAGAAAUUAGUAUACUAACGUUUACUGACCCGACAAUCGAUCAACGGACCAAGUUACCCUGGGGAUAACAGCGCAAUCUACUUCAAGAGCUCAUAUCGACAAGUAGGCUUACGACCUCGAUGUUGGAUCAGGGUAUCCCGGUGGUGCAGCCGCUACCGAAGGUUCGUUUGUUCAACGAUUAAAACCCU